UAAAUUGUAACCUAUUGAAGCCGUAGUAAGGGAUAAAGUAUGUAAAUUAGGUCUAUGCUAUGACAUACUAAUCAUCAGGAAAUAUAUUA